rnacentral:rRNA from 1 species
GACGAACGCUGGCGGUGUGCUUAACACAUGCAAGUCGAACGGUAAGGCCCUUUCGGGGGUACACGAGUGGCGAACGGGUGAGUAACACGUGAGUAACCUGCCCUCAUCUCUGGGAUAACAGUCGGAAACGGUUGCUAAUACUGGAUAUGAGCCUGCAAGGCAUCUUGUGGGUUGGAAAGAUUUUUUGGUUGGGGAUGGACUCGCGGCCUAUCAGCUUGUUGGUGAGGUAGUGGCUCACCAAGGCUUCGACGGGUAGCCGGCCUGAGAGGGCGACCGGCCACAUUGGGACUGAGAGACGGCCCAAACUCCUACGGGAGGCAGCAGUGGGGAAUAUUGCACAAUGGACGGAAGUCUGAUGCAGCAACGCCGCGUGCGGGAUGACGGCCUUCGGGUUGUAAACCGCUUUCAAUUGUGACGAAGCUUUUUGUGACGGUAGCAGUAGAAGAAGCACCGGCUAACUACGUG